GCCUCCGUAGCUCAGUGCUUAGAGCACUGGUCUAGUAAACCAGGGGUCUGGAGUUUAAUUCUCCCCGGAGGCA
rnacentral:tRNA from 1 species